AACGUUUUGAAGCUUAAAAUGGUUCUGGUUCCCUAAACUUCUCACCUGAUAUUUAAGGCAUCUCUAUGAUUGCAUACAGCCAUACACGUCCUUGUCAUCGUACCCACCAUCACCAUCAUUAGCUCCACAGCCUCCACCCUCCCCUCUAAAAAUGUUUUCUCCGUCUCAAUUUCACCAAUCUCAAGCAUGCUCUGGUUAUCUUGUUAUUCUCUCAUUUUGAGCUUCGUUUCAAGAAGAUUUUAUGAAAUGGAUGUUCCUAAAUCCACAUCCACGUCAUCUUCAUCGUCACCCUCACUGCCUAAUCCAUCUUCCUCUCCUAAAAAAAUUCAACUGGUUUCUAAGUUUGUUUCAGACCGACUUCUCGACAAAUUCUUUGAUGCAAGUGAGUUUGAUUUUGAUUAUGAACAAAGUGGAUUAUGGUCUCCUCCCAUUAGAAGAAGUGCCUUCUUGAGCUCACCUGGUAGGAUAUUCACCGAAGAGGAGAUGCUUGGAAGACUUAGAAAAGUGAUGGAUGCUCGUCGUGAUACAAGACAUAAAGCAUGCUGGAAUGUAGUGUGGUGCUUUUGAACAUGGUUGAAUCCGCUCGUUGUCACUUCAUCUCCCAGAAGGCUGAGAAGAGGGUGUUGCAUAUCAGGUCAACCACAAAACAAAAGGAGAAGGGAAAAAAAAGAAAGAAAAAUAGGUUAAUUAUAUUGGGUUGACGUACGUUCGUUGCUUCUUAAAGUCUUUUAGCAGGCAUUUCUUGAAGAAGAAGAAGAAAAAAAGGACAAAAAGAUUACGAUAUAGGGUAAUUACAUGGACCCUGUCUUUGCUUAAUCUUAUGAUAAUUAGGUAUUAAGCAAGAAAGCAGGAUCUUUAGUUUCAAGAAUUGUAUUAUUUUUAUUAUUUUUUCGGUCUUGAUUUUCAAAUUAAUAUAUAUGAAGGAAAUGAAUCAUGAUAUAUGAUAAUUUA